GAUGAACGCUGGCGGCGUGCCUAAUACAUGCAAGUCGAGCGAACAGACGAGGAGCUUGCUCCUCUGAUGUUAGCGGCGGACGGGUGAGUAACACGUGGAUAACCUACCUAUAAGACUGGGAUAACUUCGGGAAACCGGAGCUAAUACCGGAUAACAUUUUGAACCGCAUGGUUCAACAGUGAAAGACGGUCUUGCUGUCACUUAUAGAUGGAUCCGCGCCGCAUUAGCUAGUUGGUAAGGUAACGGCUUACCAAGGCAACGAUGCGUAGCCGACCUGAGAGGGUGAUCGGCCACACUGGAACUGAGACACGGUCCAGACUCCUACGGGAGGCAGCAGUAGGGAAUCUUCCGCAAAGGGCGAAAGCCUGACGGAGCAACGCCGCGUGAGUGAAGAAGGUCUUCGGAUCGUAAAACUCUGUUAUUAGGGAAGAACAAAUGUGUAAGUAACUAUGCACGUCUUGACGGUACCUAAUCAGAAAGCCACGGCUAACUACGUG
rnacentral:rRNA from 1 species